rnacentral:lncRNA from 1 species
UUCUUUCAAGACUUUGGAUAUCAAAGUUUUGAUAAUCAUUUUCAUUUUGAAGGUUUGCAACAGAAUGUUGCUUUCUAAAUUUCAAAUUCCCAUUUCAUUUCAUUUUAAAGGCUUAACUUUACAACAGAAUGUUGGCCUUUUCUUUCAAUUAUCCAUGAGACUUGAUCUCAUUUCCUUAUAAAAAAGGAUUGAACCAACAAUAUGUUCUUGGUUUGAAACCAAGAACAUUGAACAGGAACCAUUUCGUCCAAACAAUCCAAAAAAUUUCAAACCACUAUUUCGUUCAAGGAUUCAGAAGCUUCAUUCCGUUCAAAUAAUUUCAGGAACAAGUAUGUUAAAGUCUUCCCUUCUUUCUUUUGGCAUGGUCUAAAUUAUAUUGAAGAAACAAGAAAAUACACAGUUUCCAUAAAUUACUCUAUUUAUAAAAAUAGUAUGGGUAUCUAUAUUCUUGAUUCCCCAUGACAAUUAAUAUUAUCCGGAAGGAAUAUUAAGAUUAUUACGUAUUUUUCAUGCAUUUCACUCAUUUAUACAUAUGCAUUGACUCAUGACCAGAUGACGUUAUAUAUGCGUAUAUAUUUAAAUAUAUGUAUAUGGGGUAUGGGAAAAGGUUACGGCAUUAUAUACGCACCACCACCUGAUCAGCUGGUAUAUGUUGAUGAUGUUGCCCACAGUGGCCGAGACGAUAUGAUGGGAUGCCCUCAGUGGCUUGAUGAUAUUAUGUACAUACAUACCUAUGCAUGACACGAUAUUUAUACUCGCGUGCAUGACAUUAUAAACGUUUUAGAAUUUUAAAGUUAUUCAGGUUUAAAGAUAUGUUUCUUUAUUCCAUGUUUCAUCUAUGUCUUUGCCUUACAUACUCAGUACAUUUUUCGUACUGACGCCCUAUUUCACUGGGCCUGUGUUUCAUGCCCGCAAGUGCAGGUAGGCAAGCUAACAGUCCCCCUUCUUAGGAUCCAUGAUCAGUGAGAGUUGGCGUGCUCCACUUGAUCCGAAGCUGCUUUUGAUUUUGGUAUAAUAUGUUUGUGUGUGUCUCUAUAUAUAUAUAUAUNNNNN